CAGGGAUUGCCCUAGUAACGGCGAGUGAAGCGGCAACAGCUCAAAUUUGAAAUCUGGCGUCUUUGGCGUCCGAGUUGUAAUUUGCAGAGGGCGCUUUGGCGUUGGCAGCGGUCCAAGUUCCUUGGAACAGGACGUCACAGAGGGUGAGAAUCCCGUACGUGGUCGCUGGCCUUCGCCGUGUAAAGCCCCUUCGACGAGUCGAGUUGUUUGGGAAUGCAGCUCUAAAUGGGAGGUAAAUUUCUUCUAAAGCUAAAUACUGGCCAGAGACCGAUAGCGCACAAGUAGAGUGAUCGAAAGAUGAAAAGCACUUUGGAAAGAGAGUCAAACAGCACGUGAAAUUGUUAAAAGGGAAGCGCUUGCAACCAGACUUGCCUGCAGUUGCUCAUCUGGACUUUUGUCCGGUGCAUUCUUCUGUAGGCAGGCCAGCAUCAGUUUGGGCGGUUAGAUAAAGGUCUCUGUCAUGUACCUCUCUUCGGGGAGAACUUAUAGGGGAGACGACAUGUAACCAGCCUGGACUGAGGUCCGCGCAUUUGCUAGGAUGCUGGCGUAAUGGUUGUAAGCGGCCCGUCUUGAAACACGGACCAAGGAGUCUAACAUCUAUGCGAGUGUUUGGGUGUCAAGCCCGAGCGCGCAAUGAAAGUGAACGGAGGUGGGAACCCGCAAGGGUGCACCAUCGACCGAUCCUGAUGUCUUCGGAUGGAUUUGAGUAAGAGCAUAGCUGUUGGGACCCGAAAGAUGGUGAACUAUGCUUGAAUAGGGUGAAGCCAGAGGAAACUCUGGUGGAGGCUCGCAGCGGUUCUGACGUGCAAAUCGAUCGUCAAAUUUGGGCAUAGGGGCGAAAGACUAAUCGAACUAUCUAGUAGCUGGUUCCUGCCGAAGUUUCCCUCAGGAUAGCAGUGACGUAUUCAGUUUUAUGAGGUAAAGCGAAUGAUUAGAGGCCUGGGGGUUGAAACAACCUU
rnacentral:rRNA from 1 species